GUUUACUUCCUGUGUUCCCCGAAGUCAAGGGCACUUUGCCUGUUUCGUCCACGGCUACCUCCCCAGCAUCUCCAAUCAUUUCUAGCACAUAGAUAUUCAAUAAAUAAGGGUUAUUUUCAACAAGUACUUUUGCUGCGUUCAUGCUGACAAGCCUAGUUAAAUGAACUCCUCCAAGCACUGACUCGAUUCACAUCACCUUCGAGAGAUGGAAGAGCUCACGU